AUGAACGGUUGGAGCACAUUUUUGGCGGAGAUCAGACAUGAGGUCUGUGCUGACACAUGCGUUCUGAUGGAAUGUUGGAUCCGUGUCUUUCUGGGAUUCACGUUGGGGGAGGAGGAGAUCACUUUAAAAGCAGCCGGCGCACCACCACUGACAGGCAAGCGGCCAGUCUGGGCAAUGAGCUCUGAGAACAGUUCUGUGUCACUAACAAGAUCCAGAUGGCGUUUAAAAUCAAAGGAAGCACAAAAAAUGAGAGCAGAUAAGGAAAGCAAUUUGAGGAAGAGCUUUGGAGUAAUGGAUCUGGAGACUGCAGCUCUUUCACUGUAAUAUAAUUGUACAAGAUUUAAGGGGAGAGUGGAUGCAAACGCCAGUUUUUAAGAAAUUAAUGCUUUUAUUCAGCAAGGGCACAUUAAAUUGGUCAAAUCUGACAGUAAAAUAAAUUAAUGCUGUUUUGAACUUCCUGUUUAUCACAAUCCUGUGAAAAUGCAUCACAGUUUCCACAAAAAUAUUAAGUGGCACUGUUUUCAAAACAGAUGAUAAAUAUUUCUUGAGCAGCAAAUCAGCAUGCUGCAAUUAUUUCUGUGACACUGAAGACUGGAGUAAUGAUGCUGAAAAUACAGCUUUGUCACAACAGGAAUAAAUUAAAUUUUUCUAUAUAUUAAAAUAGAAAACAUUUAUUUAAAAUUGUAAAAAUAUAUAUCUAAAUAUUUUUGUAUUUAGUGGAUGUUUGAUCAAAUAAAAAUAAUAUAGUAUUGUGCUCAUAAUAGGCUUCUACCAAAAAUACUACAAAAUCUUACUGACCUCAAACUUUUGAAUGGUGGUGUAAAGCAUGUUUCCACCUCAGAGUAGAAAAUAAAAAAGUAAACAUGAAAGUGUAAAAUAAGAUU
ensembl:lncRNA